AUCGAGUAUAUGGGUAAACGGCAAUAAAUAUUCUCGGUGUAAGUUAGUCGGUUGAAAUUGGAGAGCCUGCUGCAGCGGCAGGAUUAAGUGCGGCGAGCUAUCCUUUUUGGGCGAUAAUCUUGCAUUUUAAAUAUUUCGCAAGAAGCAACACGCAAAUCCGCUGACUUGUCACACCUUCGAGCGCAGGUACAUAGUUGGGCAGCCAGGAACCAGGGAGGGACUUAAACGUAGCACCUUGUCAGGUGGUGCUGAUGGCAAUGGCAAUGGCGAUGGCGAUCCCGAGAUGGUGAUCAAAGCAACAGCCGCUGAUUAAAGACAAAAAAAAUGAAAACACGACGCACACAUGGCAAAAAAGGGGGAAUUUGUCGCCUUUUGUGUAGAGCUGCAUUGCGCAGCAGCGCCGUCAAACGAAAGUAUUUAAUUUCAGGUAAAUUUGUAAGAUAAAUAAUUGUCGCUUACCUGAAAGAGCUGAAAGAGGGGAAUGCGAUGCGCUUCAAAGAACCUCAUUGUGUUUUGCAUAUGCUGCUAUAUGGCGGCGUGUGUGUUCGCCAUCACGGCCAGAACUUUGGCCCAAAGGACCUUCAAAAGGUCCGCCGAUGGUGGUGUGUAGAUUAUGGGACAACGAUGCCAUUGUUGCAGCCGGAGGAUCGGAUCGCCUGCUGCGACCGGAUCACAACAGCGGGACACACGGGACGAUCAAUAAUGCCCCGGAUCAGCUGCGGAAUCAUCACCAGCCCCGCUCGCCACUUUGACGCAUCACUUUUGAUGAUUCGAGUACGGGAUGGAAGACGACGAGAUUCCCAUUUCGAGCAACUCGAAAUGUCAAAACACAUCCGCCACACACAUCGCGGCAUCAUAGCUACGAUUGAAUCCUCAAGAAUCUCACAGCUGGUGGCAAUGAUGACGAAUCGGAAAUGGAACUCAAUGCGCCAAUGCGCCGAUGCGUCGGCCAUAAUCAAUAAGCCGAGAAAUUUGGAACCACUUGCAGGGCAGCACAGUGGUACGGAUACACAAGUCAGCUACUUAAAAAUUGUAGAACCCUAUACUUUAAAACAAUUAAUUAGUCCAUUUCAUUUUAUAAGUUUAUAAAACAUCUAUUAUCUGUGCUUUAAGCUAUAAUACAUUUCAGGCAAACAAAACAUAUUUUUCCUAU
ensembl:ncRNA lncRNA:CR43950 long non-coding RNA:CR43950